CCUGCCCCUAGAGGCAUUGCCGCUGAGUCACACGUGUGUCAGUAUGUGGCAGAGAGGAGAGAGGCUAUGUCUAUGCUUGGAGUUCUGACCUAUGAACAUCUGAAUAAUUAACAGCCUAACAUG
ensembl:snoRNA LOC120097992 small nucleolar RNA SNORA17